CGUAUCCGCAGCUUUAAUUAGGGUUUGUAAAAUUAGGGUUUCAGGUUCAUUUGAAUUAGUUUUUUGAAUAUCGAAUUCGUAGUAUGCUUCGCUAUCUGGUUGGUGCGGAUUAAUUCCAUUCCCAUUCAACUCGUUCCCUUGAAGCAAAAUCGAUUUGUGUUGUUCUUUUAUUAUAUCUCCCUUCUACAUCUCUGUUGCUUUGGGAGUACAAAGGGGCAUCUAUAUUUCUUAUCAAUAGUCAGAUUCGUUUUCUGUUUAAUUCUGUUCGUUUUUCUCCUCGAUUUAUUAUCCUUGUGUGUAAAUUGUGAACUGUGAUGAGCCUACAGACCUGUAAUGAUUUGCGGCCAUGAUCGCAAACAUUUAUGAACAUCUAAGGGACUGAGUUCACGAAUAUUGCUGCCAUUUUUUAGUCUUCAUUUUUUCAUUGUAAUCUUGUUGCAAUUCAAACUUAAAUUUGUGUAGUUAGUUGUAUUUGUUAAAGUCUUUGAGAUGUUGUUUUUAGUUGUUUAAAUGUUUAGGUUAUUGUGGCUUUGGUAGAUAGGGAUGAUGCAAAAUAUAUAAUCCAACACUUGAUCUGAGAUAAAUUGUUCAAUUUUGUGAAGUUAAAUCUAUUUAUAUGCGUCUGAAUCUACACAUUAUUAUAGUUUUCUCAGUUCAAAUAUUUUUUCUAUUUUGAAUUUGGUUUGCUGUAUGGAUAAAUGUGAUUUGAGACUUUUCUUGUUGAUGAUUUAUUUUUGUAUGUUCACAAUUCACAUUGUAUGGAUCUUAUAUACUUCAAUGUUGUGGUUUAAUAUUGUUUUACGUAUUGUUUCAGAAAUGUUUAUCAUCACCAGUUCUCUAUUUUAUUUCACAUCAGAUGAUGAAAUUGGAAUAAUCUUAGGACACCUUCCUACACAGCAAUAAUUGCUGUGAAUGAGAAUAAUUUUCCAUGCUGAUGAUGUC